UACGUAGGUGGCGAGCGUUGUCCGUAUUUACUGGGCGUAAAGGGCGUGCAGGCGGUUUGUUAAGUGCAGGGUGAAAGCUCCCGGCUCAACUGGGAGAGGUCCUUGCAUACUGGCGAACUCGAGGGAGGCAGAGGAAAGUGGAAUUCCUGGUGUAGCGGUGAAAUGCGCAGAUAUCAGGAGGAACACCGGUGGCGAAGGCGGGUCUCUGGGCCGAUACUGACGCUGAGGAGCGAAAGCGUGGGGAGCGAACAGG
rnacentral:rRNA from 1 species